GACGAACGCUGGCGGCGCGCUUAACACAUGCAAGUCGAACGGAAAGGCCUGCUUUCCCUUGUGUAUUGCAGUGGCGAACGUGGCAAAAAGGUGAGUAACACGUGCGUUAUAUUCCGCCAAAUUCGGUGUAAACCUGGGAUACUAGGGCUAAUGACCGUUAGGACUGCAGGGUGGUGCCGGUGGUUGAACACGAUUUUCUAGUGGUUGGGGCUGAGCUCGCGGCGUAUCGGCUUGGUGGUGGGGUGAUGGCCUGCCAAGGCGGCGACGGGGAGCCGGCCGGGGAGGGUGGACGGCCACAUUGGGACUGAGAUACGGCCCAGACUCCUACCGGAGGCAGCAGUGGGGAAGGUUGCACGAUGGGCGGAAGCCUGAUGCAGCGACGCCGCGUGGGGGAUGCCGGCCUGCGGGUUGUAAACUCCUUUCGACCGCGAGGAAGCCACCUGGUUGGAAGGGUGGUGACGGUAGUGGUAGAAGAAGCACCGGCUAACUACGUG
rnacentral:rRNA from 1 species